rnacentral:tRNA from 1 species
GGGGAUAUAGCUCAGUUGGUAGAGUGUUUGUCUUACAUGCACAAGGCCAUGGCUGUAAUCCCCA